GACAGAGGAGCCAAGCGUUGUCCGGAUUGACUGGGCGUAAAGCGCACGCAGGCGGUCGCGCGCGUGGGGGGUGAAAACUGGCGGCUUAACUGCCAGAGGCCAUCCCAUACGGCGCGACUCGAGCCAUGCAGAGGUCCACGGAAUUGCCGGUGUAGUGGUGAAAUGCGUAGAGAUCGGCAGGAACACCCAGGGGGAAACCAGUGGACUGGGCAUGAGCUGACGCUCAGGUGCGAAAGCGUGGGGAGCGAACAGG
rnacentral:rRNA from 1 species